UAGAUAUAUGGAAGAACACCAGUGGCGAAGGCGGCUGUCUGGUCUGUAACUGACGCUGAGGCUCGAAAGUAUGGGUAGCAAACAGGAUUAGAUACCCUGGUAGUCCAUACCGUAAACGAUGAAUGCUAAGUGUUGGAGGGUUUCCGCCCUUCAGUGCUGCAGCUAACGCAUUAAGCAUUCCGCCUGGGGAGUACGGCCGCAAGGCUGAAACUCAAAGGAAUUGACGGGGGCCCGCACAAGCGGUGGAGCAUGUGGUUUAAUUCGAAGCUACGCGAAGAACCUUACCAGGUCUUGACAUACUAUGCAAAUCUAAGAGAUUAGACGUUCCCUUCGGGGACAUGGAUACAGGUGGUGCAUGGUUGUCGUCAGCUCGUGUCGUGAGAUGUUGGGUUAAGUCCCGCAACGAGCGCAACCCUUAUUAUCAGUUGCCAGCAUUAAGUUGGGCACUCUGGUGAGACUGCCGGUGACAAACCGGAGGAAGGUGGGGAUGACGUCAAAUCAUCAUGCCCCUUAUGACCUGGGCUACACACGUGCUACAAUGGAUGGUACAACGAGUUGCGAACUCGCGAGAGUAAGCUAAUCUCUUAAAGCCAUUCUCAGUUCGGAUUGUAGGCUGCAACUCGCCUACAUGAAGUCGGAAUCGCUAGUAAUCGCGGAUCAGCAUGCCGCGGUGAAUACGUUCCCGGGCCUUGUACACACCGCCCGUCACACCAUGAGAGUUUGUAACACCCAAAGUCGGUGGGGUAAC
rnacentral:rRNA from 2 species